UACGUAGGGCACGAGCGUUGUCCGGAAUUAUUGGGCGUAAAGAGCUCGUAGGCGGCCUGUCGCGUCGGUUGUGAAAGCCCGGGGCUCAACCCCGGGUCUGCAGUCGAUACGGGCAGGCUAGAGUUCGGUAGGGGAGAUCGGAAUUCCUGGUGUAGCGGUGAAAUGCGCAGAUAUCAGGAGGAACACCGGUGGCGAAGGCGGAUCUCUGGGCCGAUACUGACGCUGAGGAGCGAAAGCGUGGGGAGCGAACAGG
rnacentral:rRNA from 1 species